rnacentral:rRNA from 1 species
AGUGAACGCUGGCGGUAGGCCUAACACAUGCAAGUCGAACGGCAGCACAGUAAGAGCUUGCUCUUACGGGUGGCGAGUGGCGGACGGGUGAGGAAUACAUCGGAAUCUACUUUUUCGUGGGGGAUAACGUAGGGAAACUUACGCUAAUACCGCAUACGACCUACGGGUGAAAGCAGGGGAUCUUCGGACCUUGCGCGAUUGAAUGAGCCGAUGUCGGAUUAGCUAGUUGGCGGGGUAAAGGCCCACCAAGGCGACGAUCCGUAGCUGGUCUGAGAGGAUGAUCAGCCACACUGGAACUGAGACACGGUCCAGACUCCUACGGGAGGCAGCAGUGGGGAAUAUUGGACAAUGGGCGCAAGCCUGAUACAGCCAUACCGCGUGGGUGAAGAAGGCCUUCGGGUUGUAAAGCCCUUUUGUUGGGAAAGAACAGCAGCAGGUUAAUACCCCGCUGUUCUGACGGUACCCAAAGAAUAAGCACCGGCUAACUUCGUG